rnacentral:rRNA from 1 species
CAGUCGCCACGGUAAUACGUAGGUCCCGAGCGUUGUCCGGAUUUAUUGGGCGUAAAGCGAGCGCAGGCGGUUAGAUAAGUCUGAAGUUAAAGGCUGUGGCUUAACCGUAGUACGCUUUGGAAACUGUUUAACUUGAGUGCAAGAGGGGAGAGUGGAAUUCCAUGUGUAGCGGUGAAAUGCGUAGAUAUAUGGAGGAACACCGGUGGCGAAAGCGGCCCUCUGGCUUGUAACUGACGCUGAGGCUCGAAAGCGUGGGGAGCAAACAGGAUUAGAUACCCCGGUAGUCCCUGUCUCUUAUACA